GACGAACCGUGCGAACGUUGUUCGGAAUCACUGGGCUUAAAGGGCGCGUAGGCGGCCCGCCGCGUCCGGGGUGAAAUCCUCCCGCUCAACGGGAGAACGGCCUCGGAUACGGGCGGGCUGGAGGCGGGUAGGGGCGGGCGGAACUGUGGGUGGAGCGGUGAAAUGCGUUGAUAUCCACAGGAACUCCGGUGGCGAAGGCGAGGUGCUGGGCCCUUUCUGACGCUGAGUGCGCGAAAGCCAGGGGAGCAAACGGG
rnacentral:rRNA from 1 species